CAGUUCAUACUUAGUAGUGUGUUAUUAUUUACAUUAAUAAUUUAUUUGUGCGAUUCAAAUUGAUCUGA
rnacentral:tRNA from 1 species